rnacentral:rRNA from 1 species
CAGUCGCCGCGGUAAAACGAAGGGGGCUAGCGCUGCUCGGAAUGACUGGGCGUAAAGGGCGCGUAGGCUGCGAUCAAAGUCAGGCGUGAAAUUCCUGGGCUCAACCUGGGGGCUGCGUUUGAUACUUGAUUGCUAGAGUGGGGAAGAGGGUCGUGGAAUUCCCAGUGUAGAGGUGAAAUUCGUAGAUAUUGGGAAGAACACCAGUGGCGAAGGCGGCUCACUGGACCGACACUGACGCUGAGGCGCGAAAGCGUGGGGAGCAAACAGGAUUAGAUACCCCGGUAGUCCCUGUCUCUUAUAC